rnacentral:misc_RNA from 1 species
AACGCACAUUGCGCCCGCCAGUAUUCUGGCGGGCAUGCCUGUUCGAGCGUCAUUUCAACCAUCAAGCCUCAGUGCUUGUGUUGGGGACCUGCGGCCGCCGCAGCCCCCUAAAUACAGUGGCGGACUCGUCGUCGUACCGAGCGCAGUAAACAUCCUCGCUCUGGGAACGCGGCGGGCGCUAGCCGUGAAGCACACCACUUCUCAAGGUUGACCUCGGAUCAGGUAGGAAUACCCGCUGAACUUAA